GCGUUGUUCGGAUUCAUUGGGCGUAAAGGGUGCGUAGGUGGCGCCGUAAGUCAGGUGUGAAAUUUCGGAGCUUAACUCCGAAACUGCAUUUGAUACUGCGGUGCUUGAGGACUGGAGAGGAGACUGGAAUUCAUGGUGUAGCAGUGAAAUGCGUAGAGAUCAUGAGGAAGACCAGUGGCGAAGGCGGGUCUCUGGACCGGUUCUGACGCUGAGGCGCGAAAGCGUG
rnacentral:rRNA from 1 species